rnacentral:rRNA from 1 species
CCUACGGGUGGCAGCAGUGAGGAAUAUUGGUCAAUGGGCGAGAGCCUGAACCAGCCAAGUCGCGUGAGGGAAGACGGUCCUAUGGAUUGUAAACCUCUUUUGCCGGGGAGCAAAAAGCGGUACGUGUACCGCAUCGAGAGUACCCGGAGAAAAAGCAUCGGCUAACUCCGUGCCAGCAGCCGCGGUAAUACGUAGGGGGCAAGCGUUAUCCGGAUUUACUGGGUGUAAAGGGAGCGUAGACGGCAGUGCAAGUCCGGAGUGAAAGCCCGGGGCUCAACCCUGGGACUGCUCUGGAAACUGUAAAGCUGGAGUGCGGGAGGGGCAGGCGGAAGUCCUGGUGUAGCGGUGAAAUGCGUAGAUAUCAGGAGGAACACCGGCGGCGAAGGCGGCCUGCUGGACCGUAACUGACGUUGAGGCUCGAAAGCGUGGGGAGCAAACAGGAUUAGAUACCCCAGUAGUC